rnacentral:rRNA from 1 species
GAUGAACGCUGGCGGCGUGCCUAAUACAUGCAAGUCGAGCGAACAGACGAGGAGCUUGCUCCUCUGACGUUAGCGGCGGACGGGUGAGUAACACGUGGAUAACCUACCUAUAAGACUGGGAUAACUUCGGGAAACCGGAGCUAAUACCGGAUAAUAUAUUGAACCGCAUGGUUCAAUAGUGAAAGACGGUUUUGCUGUCACUUAUAGAUGGAUCCGCGCCGCAUUAGCUAGUUGGUAAGGUAACGGCUACCAAGGCGACGAUGCGAAGCCGACCUGAGAGGGUGAUCGGCCACACUGGAACUGAGACACGGUCCAGACUCCUACGGGAGGCAGCAGUAGGGAAUCUUCCGCAAUGGGCGAAAGCCUGACGGAGCAACGCCGCGUGAGUGAUGAAGGUCUUCGGAUCGUAAAACUCUGUUAUUAGGGAAGAACAAAUGUGUAAGUAACUAUGCACGUCUUGACGGUACCUAAUCAGAAAGCCACGGCUAACUACGUG